rnacentral:rRNA from 1 species
UACGGGGGGGGCAAGCGUUGUUCGGAAUUACUGGGCGUAAAGGGCUCGUAGGUGGCCAACUAAGUCAGACGUGAAAUCCCUCGGCUUAACCGGGGAACUGCGUCUGAUACUGGAUGGCUUGAGUUUGGGAGAGGGAUGCGGAAUUCCAGGUGUAGCGGUGAAAUGCGUAGAUAUCUGGAGGAACACCGGUGGCGAAGGCGGCGUCCUGGACCAAUACUGACACUGAUGAGCGAAAGCCAGGGGAGCAAACGGG